GAUGAACGCUGGCGGCGUGCCUAAUACAUGCAAGUCGAGCGAACAGACGAGGAGCUUGCUCCUCUGACGUUAGCGGCGGACGGGUGAGUAACACGUGGAUAACCUACCUAUAAGACUGGGAUAACUUCGGGAAACCGGAGCUAAUACCGGAUAAUAUAUUGAACCGCAUGGUUCAAUAGUGAAAGACGGUUUUGCUGUCACUUAUAGUUGGAUCCGCGCCGCAUUAGCUAGUUGGUAAGGUAACGGCUUACCAAGGCGACGAUGCGUAGCCGACCUGAGAGGGUGAUCGGCCACACUGGAACUGAGACACGGUCCAGACUCCUACGGGAGGCAGCAGUAGGGAAUCUUCCGCAAUGGGCGAAAGCCUGACGGAGCAACGCCGCGUGAGUGAUGAAGGUCUUCGGAUCGUAAAACUCUGUUAUUAGGGAAGAACAAAUGUGUAAGUAACUAUGCACGUCUUGACGGUACCUAAUCAGAAAGCGACGGCUAACUACGUG
rnacentral:rRNA from 1 species